rnacentral:rRNA from 1 species
GGCGUGUACUGCUCUGCUGGGCCUUACCUCUUGGUGAGCCGGCGUGGCCUUAACUGGUUGCGUCGGGGAACCAGGACUUUUACCUUGAGAAAAUUAGAGUGUUCAAAGCAGGCCUAUGCCUGAAUACAUUAGCAUGGAAUAAUAAAAUAGGACGUGCGGUUCUAUUUUGUUGGUUUCUAGAGUCGCCGUAAUGAUUAAUAGGGAUAGUUGGGGGCAUUGGUAUUGAGUCGCUAGAGGCGAAAUUCUUGGAUUGACUCAAGACCGACUACUGCGAAAGCAUUUGCCAAGGAUGUUUUCAUUAAUCAAGGACGAAGGUUAGGGGAUCGAAAACGAUCAGAUACCGUUGUAGUCUUAACAGUAAACUAUGCCGACUAGGGAUCGGGCGACCUCAAAUUUGAUGUGUCGCUCGGCACCUUACGAGAAAUCAAAGUUUUUGGGUUCUGGGGGGAGUAUGGUCGCAAGGCUGAAACUUAAAGGAAUUGACGGAAGGGCACCACCAGGUGUGGAGCCUGCGGCUUAAUUUGACUCAACACGGGGAAACUCACCAGGUCCAGACAUAACUAGGAUUGACAGAUUGAUAGCUCUUUCAUGAUUUUAUGGGUGGUGGUGCAUGGCCGUUCUUAGUUGGUGGAGUGAUUUGUCUGGUUAAUUCCGAUAACGAACGAGACCUUAACCUGCUAAAUAGCCAGGCCGGCUUCUGCUGGUCGCAGGCUUCUUAGAGGGACUGUCAG